AUUGAACGCUGGCGGCAUGCCUUACACAUGCAAGUCGAACGGCAGCACGGGAGCAAUCCUGGUGGCGAGUGGCGAACGGGUGAGUAAUAUAUCGGAACGUGCCCAGUCGUGGGGGAUAACGUAGCGAAAGCUACGCUAAUACCGCAUACGAUCUAUGGAUGAAAGCGGGGGAUCGCAAGACCUCGCGCGAUUGGAGCGGCCGAUAUCAGAUUAGGUAGUUGGUGGGGUAAAAGCCUACCAAGCCUUCGAUCUGUAGCUGGUCUGAGAGGACGACCAGCCACACUGGAACUGAGACACGGUCCAGACUCCUACGGGAGGCAGCAGUGGGGAAUUUUGGACAAUGGGCGCAAGCCUGAUCCAGCAAUGCCGCGUGCAGGAUGAAGGCCUUCGGUUGUAAACUGCUUUUGUACGGAACGAAACGGUUACGUCUCUAAUACAGGGGCGUAAUGACGGUACCGUAAGAAUAAGCACCGGCUAACUACGUAGCCAGCAGCC
rnacentral:rRNA from 1 species